AACUGCUUUUAUGCGGGUAUAAAGGAGCAUACGUGUAUGUUUUUGCAGGUACCGCAUGAAUAAGGACCGGCUAAUUCCGUGCCAGCAGCCGCGGUAAUACGGAAGGUUCUGGUGUUAUCCGGAUUUAUUGGGUUUAAAGGGAGCGCAGGCUGUCAGAUAAGCGUGUUGUGAAAUGCGGUUGCUCAACAUCCGCACUGCAGCGCGAACUGUUUGACUUGAGUACGCACGACGUUGGUGGAAUUUGCCGUGUAGCGGUGAAAUGCUUAGAUAUGGCGAAGAACUCCGAUUGCGAAGGCAGCUGACGGGAGCGCUACUGACGCUCAUGCUCGAAAGUGCGGGUAUCGAACAGGAUUAGAUACCCUGGUAGUCC
rnacentral:rRNA from 1 species